GGCUAGUCCGAGUAUAGUGGUGUUUACAGUCAGUUACAGAUUUCUUUGUUCCUUCUCUACUCCCACUGCUUCACUUGAGUAGCCUAAA
rnacentral:Y_RNA from 1 species